rnacentral:rRNA from 1 species
AGCGAACGCUGGCGGCAGGCCUGACACAUGCAAGUCGAACGAACCUUUCGGGGUUAGUGGCGGACGGGUGAGUAACACGUGGGAACGUGCCUUUAGGUUCGGAAUAACUCAGGGAAACUUGUGCUAAUACCGAAUGUGCCCUUCGGGGGAAAGAUUAAUCGCCUUUAGAGCGGCCCGCGUCUGAUUAGCUAGUUGGUUGAGGUAAUGGCUCACCAAGGCGACGAUCAGUAGCUGGUCUGAGAGGAUGAUCAGCCACAUUGGGACUGAGACACGGCCCAAACUCCUACGGGAGGCAGCAGUGGGGAAUCUUGCGCAAUGGGCGAAAGCCUGACGCAGCCAUGCCGCGUGAAUGAUGAAGGUCUUAGGAUUGUAAAAUUCUUUCACCGGGGACGAUAAUGACGGUACCCGGAGAAGAAGCCCCGGCUAACUUCGUG